UACGGGGGGGGGUAAGCGUUGUUCGGAAUUACUGGGCGUAAAGGGCUCGUAGGCGGCCAACUAAGUCAAACGUGAAAUCCCUCAGCUUAACUGGGGAACUGCGUCUGAUACUGGAUGGCUUGGAUUCGGGAGAGGAAUGCGGAAUUCCAGGUGUAGCGGUGAAAUGCGUAGAUAUCUGGAGGAACACCGGUGGCGAAGGCGGCAUUCUGGACCGAUAUUGACGCUGAGGAGCGAAAGCCAGGGGAGCAAACGGG
rnacentral:rRNA from 1 species